UACGUAGGGUGCAAGCGUUGUCCGGAAUUAUUGGGCGUAAAGAGCUCGUAGGCGGUUUGUCGCGUCUGCUGUGAAAACUCGGGGCUCAACCCCGGGCCUGCAGUGGGUACGGGCAGACUAGAGUGCGGUAGGGGAGACUGGAAUUCCUGGUGUAGCGGUGAAAUGCGCAGAUAUCAGGAGGAACACCAGUGGCGAAGGCGGGUCUCUGGGCCGUAACUGACGCUGAGGAGCGAAAGCGUGGGGAGCGAACAGG
rnacentral:rRNA from 1 species